rnacentral:rRNA from 1 species
UACGUAGGAGGCAAGCGUUGUCCGGAAUUACUGGGCGUAAAGCGCGUGUAGGUGGUGGGACAAGUCUGCUGUGAAAGCGCCUGGCUUAACCGGGCGAGGUCGGCGGAAACUGUCCGACUCGAGGACGGUAGAGGGGGGUGGAAUUCCCGGUGUAGUGGUGAAAUGCGUAGAGAUCGGGAGGAACACCUGUGGCGAAGGCGGCCCCCCUGGGCCGGCCCCUGACACUGAGACGCGAAGGCGUGGGGGAGCGAACAGG